rnacentral:rRNA from 1 species
GAUGAACGCUGGCGGCGUGCUUAACACAUGCAAGUCGAACGGAAAGGCCCAAGCUUGCUUGGGUACUCGAGUGGCGAACGGGUGUGUAACACGUGGGUGAUCUUCCCUGCACUUCGGGAUAAGCCUGGGAAACUGGGUCUAAUACCGGCUAGGACGAUGGCUUGGAUGCCAUUUUGGAAAGUUUUUUCGGUGUGGGAUGAGCUCGCGGCCUAUCAGCUUGUUGUUGGGGUAAUGGCUUACCAAGGCGUCGACGGGUAGCCGGCCUGAGAGGGUGUACGGCCACAUUGGGGCGGAGAUACGGCCCAGAAUCCUACGGGAGGCAGCAGUGGGGAAGAUUGCACAAUGGGCGCAAGCCUGAUGCAGCGACGCCGCGUGGGGGAUGACGGCCUUCGUGUUGUAAACUCCUUUCGCUAGGGACGAAGCGUUUUUGUGACGGUACCUGGAGAAGAAGCACCGGCUAACUACGUG